ACUUAAAUUGAAGAGUUUGAUCAUGGCUCAGAUUGAACGCUGGCGGCAGGCCUAACACAUGCAAGUCGAGCGGUAGCACAGAGAGCUUGCUCUCGGGUGACGAGCGGCGGACGGGUGAGUAAUGUCUGGGAAACUGCCUGAUGGAGGGGGAUAACUACUGGAAACGGUAGCUAAUACCGCAUAAUGUCGCAAGACCAAAGUGGGGGACCUUCGGGCCUCAUGCCAUCAGAUGUGCCCAGAUGGGAUUAGCUAGUAGGUGGGGUAACGGCUCACCUAGGCGACGAUCCCUAGCUGGUCUGAGAGGAUGACCAGCCACACUGGAACUGAGACACGGUCCAGACUCCUACGGGAGGCAGCAGUGGGGAAUAUUGCACAAUGGGCGCAAGCCUGAUGCAGCCAUGCCGCGUGUGUGAAGAAGGCCUUCGGGUUGUAAAGCACUUUCAGCGGGGAGGAAGGCGAUAAGGUUAAUAACCUUGUCGAUUGACGUUACCCGCAGAAGAAGCACCGGCUAACUCCGUGCCAGCAGCCGCGGUAAUACGGAGGGUGCAAGCGUUAAUCGGAAUUACUGGGCGUAAAGCGCACGCAGGCGGUCUGUCAAGUCGGAUGUGAAAUCCCCGGGCUCAACCUGGGAACUGCAUUCGAAACUGGCAGGCUAGAGUCUUGUAGAGGGGGGUAGAAUUCCAGGUGUAGCGGUGAAAUGCGUAGAGAUCUGGAGGAAUACCGGUGGCGAAGGCGGCCCCCUGGACAAAGACUGACGCUCAGGUGCGAAAGCGUGGGGAGCAAACAGGAUUAGAUACCCUGGUAGUCCACGCCGUAAACGAUGUCGAUUUGGAGGUUGUGCCCUUGAGGCGUGGCUUCCGGAGCUAACGCGUUAAAUCGACCGCCUGGGGAGUACGGCCGCAAGGUUAAAACUCAAAUGAAUUGACGGGGGCCCGCACAAGCGGUGGAGCAUGUGGUUUAAUUCGAUGCAACGCGAAGAACCUUACCUGGUCUUGACAUCCACAGAACUUUCCAGAGAUGGAUUGGUGCCUUCGGGAACUGUGAGACAGGUGCUGCAUGGCUGUCGUCAGCUCGUGUUGUGAAAUGUUGGGUUAAGUCCCGCAACGAGCGCAACCCUUAUCCUUUGUUGCCAGCGGUUCGGCCGGGAACUCAAAGGAGACUGCCAGUGAUAAACUGGAGGAAGGUGGGGAUGACGUCAAGUCAUCAUGGCCCUUACGACCAGGGCUACACACGUGCUACAAUGGCAUAUACAAAGAGAAGCGACCUCGCGAGAGCAAGCGGACCUCAUAAAGUAUGUCGUAGUCCGGAUUGGAGUCUGCAACUCGACUCCAUGAAGUCGGAAUCGCUAGUAAUCGUAGAUCAGAAUGCUACGGUGAAUACGUUCCCGGGCCUUGUACACACCGCCCGUCACACCAUGGGAGUGGGUUGCAAAAGAAGUAGGUAGCUUAACCUUCGGGAGGGCGCUUACCACUUUGUGAUUCAUGACUGGGGUGAAGUCGUAACAAGGUAACCGUAGGGGAACCUGCGGUUGGAUCACCUCCUUACCUUAAAGAA
rnacentral:rRNA from 1 species